GUUGACCUACGGGACGCAGCAGUGGGGAAUAUUGCACAAUGGGGGAAACCCUGAUGCAGCGACGCCGCGUGAGUGAAGAAGUAUUUCGGUAUGUAAAGCUCUAUCAGCAGGGAAGAAAAAAAGACGGUACCUGACUAAGAAGCCCCGGCUAACUACGUGCCAGCAGCCGCGGUAAUACGUAGGGGGCAAGCGUUAUCCGGAUUUACUGGGUGUAAAGGGAGCGCAGGCGGCCUGCCAAGUCUGGUGUGAAAACCCGGGGCCCAACCCCGGGUCUGCAUUGGAAACUGGCGGGCUGGAGUGUCGGG
rnacentral:rRNA from 1 species